GUCUACGGCCGUACCACCCUGAACGCGCCCGAUCUCAUCUGAUCUCGGAAGCUAAGCAGGGUCGGGCCUGGUUAGUACUUGGAUGGGAGAAAUAGACCAUGACCAUGGUUCAGGUGCUGGAGUGC
rnacentral:rRNA from 1 species